rnacentral:rRNA from 1 species
UUAAGCGACUAAGCGUACACGGUGGAUGCCCUGGCAGUCAGAGGCGAUGAAGGACGUGCUAAUCUGCGAAAAGCGCCGGCGAGGUGAUAUGAACCUUUGACCCGGCGAUGUCCGAAUGGGGAAACCCAGUGCAAUCCGUUGCACUAUCGUUAACUGAAUACAUAGGUUAACGAGGCGAACCGGGGGAACUGAAACAUCUAAGUACCCCGAGGAAAAGAAAUCAACCGAGAUUCCCCCAGUAGCGGCGAGCGAACGGGGAGCAGCCCGGAGUCUGAAUCAGCUUGUGUGUUAGUGGAACGGUCUGGAAAGUCCGACGGUACAGGGUGAUAGUCCCGUACACGAAAGCACACAUGCUGUGAACUCGAAGAGUAGGGCGGGACACGUGGUAUCCUGUCUGAAUAUGGGGGGACCAUCCUCCAAGGCUAAAUACUCCUGACUGACCGAUAGUGAACCAGUACCGUGAGGGAAAGGCGAAAAGAACCCCGGCGAGGGGAGUGAAAAAGAACCUGAAACCGUGUACGUACAAGCAGUGGGAGCCUCUUUAUGGGGUGACUGCGUACCUUUUGUAUAAUGGGUCAGCGACUUAUAUUCUGUAGCAAGGUUAACCGUAUAGGGGAGCCGAAGGGAAACCGAGUCUUAACUGGGCGUUAAGUUGCAGGGUAUAGACCCGAAACCCGGUGAUCUAGCCAUGGGCAGGUUGAAGGUUGGGUAACACUAACUGGAGGACCGAACCGACUAAUGUUGAAAAAUUAGCGGAUGACCUGUGGCUGGGGGUGAAAGGCCAAUCAAACCGGGAGAUAGCUGGUUCUCCCCGAAAGCUAUUUAGGUAGCGCCUCGUGAACUCAUCUUCGGGGGUAGAGCACUGUUUCGGCUAGGGGGCCAUCCCGGCUUACCAACCCGAUGCAAACUACGAAUACCGAAGAAUGUUAUCACGGGAGACACACGGCGGGUGCUAACGUCCGUCGUGAAGAGGGAAACAACCCAGACCGCCAGCUAAGGUCCCAAAGUCAUGGUUAAGUGGGAAACGAUGUGGGAAGGCACAGACAGCCAGGAUGUUGGCUUAGAAGCAGCCAUCAUUUAAAGAAAGCGUAAUAGCUCACUGGUCGAGUCGGCCUGCGCGGAAGAUGUAACGGGGCUAAACCAUGCACCGAAGCUGCGGCAGCGACACUAUGUGUUGUUGGGUAGGGGAGCGUUCUGUAAGCCGUUGAAGGUGUCCUGUGAGGGGUGCUGGAGGUAUCAGAAGUGCGAAUGCUGACAUAAGUAACGAUAAAGCGGGUGAAAAGCCCGCUCGCCGGAAGACCAAGGGUUCCUGUCCAACGUUAAUCGGGGCAGGGUGAGUCGACCCCUAAGGCGAGGCCGAAAGGCGUAGUCGAUGGGAAACAGGUUAAUAUUCCUGUACUUGGUGUUACUGCGAAGGGGGGACGGAGAAGGCUAUGUCAGCCGGGCGACGGUUGUCCCGGUUUAAGCAUGUAGGCGGAGGUUCCAGGUAAAUCCGGUACCUUAUUAACGCUGAGGUGUGAUGACGAGGCACUACGGUGCUGAAGUGAUAAAUGCCCUGCUUCCAGGAAAAGCCUCUAAGCAUCAGGUAACACGAAAUCGUACCCCAAACCGACACAGGUGGUCAGGUAGAGAAUACCAAGGCGCUUGAGAGAACUCGGGUGAAGGAACUAGGCAAAAUGGUGCCGUAACUUCGGGAGAAGGCACGCUGAUAUGUAGGUGAAGUCCCUGCGGACGGAGCUGAAAUCAGUCGAAGAUACCAGCUGGCUGCAACUGUUUAUUAAAAACACAGCACUGUGCAAACACGAAAGUGGACGUAUACGGUGUGACGCCUGCCCGGUGCCGGAAGGUUAAUUGAUGGGGUUAGCGGCAACGCGAAGCUCUUGAUCGAAGCCCCGGUAAACGGCGGCCGUAACUAUAACGGUCCUAAGGUAGCGAAAUUCCUUGUCGGGUAAGUUCCGACCUGCACGAAUGGCGUAAUGAUGGCCAGGCUGUCUCCACCCGAGACUCAGUGAAAUUGAACUCGCUGUGAAGAUGCAGUGUACCCGCGGCAAGACGGAAAGACCCCGUGAACCUUUACUAUAGCUUGACACUGAACACUGGUCCUUGAUGUGUAGGAUAGGUGGGAGGCUUUGAAGCGUGGACGCCAGUCUGCGUGGAGCCAACCUUGAAAUACCACCCUUUAAUGGCUGGUGUUCUAACGUAGACCCGUAAUCCGGGUUGCGGACAGUGUCUGGUGGGUAGUUUGACUGGGGCGGUCUCCUCCCAAAGAGUAACGGAGGAGCACGAAGGUUGGCUAAUCCUGGUCGGACAUCAGGAGGUUAGUGCAAUGGCAUAAGCCAGCUUGACUGCGAGCGUGACGGCGCGAGCAGGUGCGAAAGCAGGUCAUAGUGAUCCGGUGGUUCUGAAUGGAAGGGCCAUCGCUCAACGGAUAAAAGGUACUCCGGGGAUAACAGGCUGAUACCGCCCAAGAGUUCAUAUCGACGGCGGUGUUUGGCACCUCGAUGUCGGCUCAUCACAUCCUGGGGCUGAAGUAGGUCCCAAGGGUAUGGCUGUUCGCCAUUUAAAGUGGUACGCGAGCUGGGUUUAGAACGUCGUGAGACAGUUCGGUCCCUAUCUGCCGUGGGCGCUGGAGAAUUGAGGGGGGCUGCUCCUAGUACGAGAGGACCGGAGUGGACGCAUCACUGGUGUUCGGGUUGUCAUGCCAAUGGCACUGCCCGGUAGCUAAAUGCGGAA